rnacentral:lncRNA from 1 species
CUUUUGAGUCUGACGGGCUGGUGGAGUGUGAGUGUGGCUCCUAAAUUUCUUGGGUAGGACUGAAGAAGCACUUUUAAGAUGUGGAAACUCAGAGAGGGUGCCACUAUUUUGAACUAUUUUGAAGGCACAGCCACCAGAGCUUUAAGGACAGAGUAUUUUAUCACAGCAACAGAAAUGAAACCAAAACAACUCCACAAUAAAAUUCUUGAGUUUCUUGGGGCCAGGAAGAUGGCACGAUAAGAUAAAGACACUGGCCAAGCAUGACCUCCAGAGUUUGGCCCUUGCAUAAAGGAGAAAAUUAAUUCCUUCAGUUGUCCUCUGACAUCCACAUGCGUCCUGUAACAUGGGUGUACACAUAAGCACACAUCCACACGUUAAAUAAAUAAAAUAUAAUAACAGC